GGCUCAGGACGAACGCUGGCGGCGUGCNUAACACAUGCAAGUCGAGCGAUGAAACCCUUCGGGGUGGAUUAGCGGCGGACGGGUGAGUAACACGUGGGUAACCUGCCUCAAAGAGGGGGAUAGCCUCCCGAAAGGGAGAUUAAUACCGCAUAACAUUAGAUUUUCGCAUGAAGAACUAAUUAAAGGAGUAAUCCGCUUUGAGAUGGACCCGCGGCGCAUUAGCUAGUUGGUGAGGUAAAGGCUCACCAAGGCGACGAUGCGUAGCCGACCUGAGAGGGUGAUCGGCCACAUUGGAACUGAGACACGGUCCAGACUCCUACGGGAGGCAGCAGUGGGGAAUAUUGCACAAUGGGCGAAAGCCUGAUGCAGCAACGCCGCGUGAGUGAUGAAGGCCUUCGGGUUGUAAAGCUCUGUCUUUGGGGACGAUAAUGACGGUACCCAAGGAGGAAGCCACGGCUAACUACGUGCCAGCAGCCGCGGUAAUACGUAGGUGGCGAGCGUUGUCCGGAUUUACUGGGCGUAAAGGAUGCGUAGGUGGAUGUUUAAGUCAGAUGUGAAAUACCCGAGCUUAACUUGGGUGCUGCAUUUGAAACUGGACAUCUAGAGUGCAGGAGAGGUAAGUGGAAUUCCUAGUGUAGCGGUGAAAUGCGUAGAGAUUAGGAAGAACACCAGUGGCGAAGGCGACUUACUGGACUGUAACUGACACUGAGGCAUGAAAGCGUGGGUAGCAAACAGGAUUAGAUACCCUGGUAGUCCACGCCGUAAACGAUGAGUACUAGGUGUAGGGGGGUCCAACCUUCUGUGCCGCAGUUAACACAAUAAGUACUCCGCCUGGGAAGUACGAUC
rnacentral:rRNA from 1 species